rnacentral:rRNA from 1 species
GACGAACGCUGGCGGCGUGCCUAAUACAUGCAAGUUGAGCGAUGAAGAUUGGUGCUUGCACCAAUUUGAAGAGCAGCGAACGGGUGAGUAACGCGUGGGGAAUCUGCCUUUGAGCGGGGACAACAUUUGGAAACGAAUGCUAAUACCGCAUAACAACUUUAAACAUAAGUUUUAAGUUUGAAAGAUGCAAUUGCAUCACUCAAAGAUGAUCCCGCGUUGUAUUAGCUAGUUGGUGAGGUAAAGGCUCACCAAGGCGAUGAUACAUAGCCGACCUGAGAGGGUGAUCGGCCACAUUGGGACUGAGACACGGCCCAAACUCCUACGGGAGGCAGCAGUAGGGAAUCUUCGGCAAUGGACGAAAGUCUGACCGAGCAACGCCGCGUGAGUGAAGAAGGUUUUCGGAUCGUAAAACUCUGUUGGUAGAGAAGAACGUUGGUGAGAGUGGAAAGCUCAUCAAGUGACGGUAACUACCCAGAAAGGGACGGCUAACUACGUG